rnacentral:lncRNA from 1 species
AUUAAAAGGAGGGGGCUGGCCAAUGAAUAAACAUGCAGGUUACCGUGUUGAUAUUUCGCUGAAUGCUGUUCUGAAGUGGGGUGUUUGGGGCCUCGGAGGCCGGCGCCCCUGUAUUGUGCUGGGGGAGGGACUGGCCAUUUGAAGUCAAGUGAAGCCCAGUGAGACAGUGGAGGAGAGGGGUCAUGCCACUGCAGUUCCUCGCUAUGCCAUUCAUACAGAGCAUUCUCCAUGCUCAGGAGUCCAGGAGUCCAGUGGGCCCAUGAUGCCCAGGAGCUCGUCGAGACUCAGGGAGGUGCGGAAGACCUACUUAAAACCUGAGAGUCUCGAAUAGGAGAGGCGCUUUCAGAUCAGCCCGAGUCUUCUGCAGCGCACAGGAGCUAGUCGUACUGAAAAGAAUGAAGUUGGACUUGUCCAGGCGAGUUUCGGACAGUGCUGGGCUGCCCUGCUCUGAUCUCCUGGGUGUCUUCACCUCCUCUGGUUCCUAAGUCGGCUGCUGCACCAGCACCCAUCAAACUCUCCUGGAAGAGGAAGUGACAGCUCACCGGUAGCCUAGAAGGCCCCUGUGGGCAGAAGCAUGGACUUACUCCUCCUCAUGGAGAUGCGGCUGAGCCAUAUUUCCUUGGCACCUCUCUGGAACCUUCGACAACCACCACCUCAGACACUAACCAGACUUUAGGUCCAUUCCUUUCAUGGCUAAAAUGAGACAGUCCACAAUGUUGAUUUUAUUUGUAGGGGAUGUCAGGAUUCCAGAAAAGCAGACUUGGAAAGCAACAAAACGUUAACUUGCAGCUCACUGAGGCCCUUACACUUGUUCUGGGCACCUCUGUAUGUUAAAAGAAGUCCAAUAUCUUUAGCUGCUGGUUAUAGGUGGCCAUAUGUUUCUGCACAGAAAUGGGGCUCCCCUUGCUAGACUAAUUUUCUAAUUUUUCCUCAAGCUUCAUUGAUUCAUAUUCUUCUACUUGACCCUGACUGUCAGGACCAACAACACCAAAUAACACCAAAGUCUCUUGCUCCUGUCCUCAGAACCUCUCAGAGGCAUCCUCUGCCCUGUUGGAGCCAUUUUAUUUCAGGUUGAUCCUUAAUUAAAUUCAGCGAGAUGCAGGA